ensembl:lncRNA
GAAGGGUUAUAUAUUUAAAUAUAACUUCAUAUAUAUGAAGUAACUUGAGAUCAGACUGCUUUCUACCCUGCAUUUCCUUAACAAUAUAUCUUGAAAAUAUUUUCCCGUGUUAGUAAAUAUUGAAGUACAUCACUUUAAAUGACUGUAUGACUAUAUUAUCAUUUAAGUAAGUCUCAGACUUUUAAUCGGUUCCCAAUUUUACCACCAUCAUAAAUAUCACCACAUUGCAUUUUUUAUAUCCAUUCUUCUGCACUUCUCCGUUGUUUCCUUAGGAAAAUGCCUGGGUUAAAGAUGAACAUUUUUUAAUAUUCACACGCUUGUCUGAUCUGCCGUCUGUCUCUUUAUGUACGCUUUUUGUGUGUGUGUACACAAAAUUUACACAAGCCGGUGAGCGCCCUAAGCAUCAGGGUUCAUGCUUUUUUUUUAAAGUUUGUAUUUGCUCUAUUCUCUUCACAGUAUUUGGGGGUGGCAGGGUUUCAGGGCUCAGUGACGGUCGCACACCAGGGACCACCGUGAGGUAUCUGAAAGUAUCCUGGAAGAUGCUGAGGAUACAAAACAUGCAUAAUUUCCCAAAGGAAAGCGGGGAGUAGGUUUUUAAGUCAUUGCUUAUCUGAUCCAGAGCACCGCAGGGAACUCUGAAUCCAGUUGACACCUCUAAGAAACACCCCUCAUUCGGUGGAGGGCUUUUCAACUUCUUCCAGCGGUCUGCGAACUCUAUGGGCUAAUUUUUGGAGGUCCAGCCUCACCCAGCCUUGGUGCAACGUCAUUCACGGGCACGAAUGUAGACGUCGGGGUCCUAGCAACCCCAGCUGCAGCCGGUCCCUUCAGGGGACUGCCGCUGUUGGUCGUUGUAAACAAACUACUACUUUCUGGAGGCAGCAGUGACUCACUCCUUCUUGCUUCUUUCCUCUGGAGUCGGAGGAGAGGUGACCAGAAGGUGGAGGCAGCCGAAAGAGCGGGAGAGAGGCAGGGGAAAGUCUAGACAUCGUUUCCUUCCAUUGUCUUCCCUUCCUCCUCGGCCCUCCCUGCCCGCUUCUCCCUUCUGGUGGGUGGACGUCCCCCGCCCCCACGCCUUGGUCCGGGGCCCAGAGACGAUGGGGUUCAGCCCCCUCACUGUUUGUUGGCUAAGUUCACAGCUCCUAGUAUUCCAAGUGCUUUCAAGCAGCCAAAGCACGGGAAACGAACCGCUUUCGGCCUCUCCCCUCCCGGAGGGCUUCCUCCUUGGGUUGGUUUGGAAACUUCACCCGGACACCGAAGAAGCUCCGCCCCGGUAGUUUUGAACCGGCCGCUGGCCGAGGCCCCCGCCGGGUCCCCAGGCUCUGCCCUCGGGGAAGUGGCCUGGGGCCCGUCGCCAGGCCGAGAGGGGUGGGCUUCUUUGGAAGGCAAGCCCAGAUCCCCCGGGGCGUCCGACCGGCCCGGGCCUGCAGGGCGGGGUGGGCGCAUGGCCCAUCCCUGACUCCGAAGACCCGCGCCCUCCCAUCUCACCACCGGGGGGGACCCCUGCCCCCCGCUAACUGAGGCCCCUAGCCCCGCACCCGCCCGCGCGUCCCCCUCCACCUGGUCUAGCCCGCGGGAGCCGCGCGGACCUCUACCCGGCCCGGCCCGGCGGCGGCGCGGACCGCUGCGGCCUAGGGCGCCGGGCGGCCGCGAGCCUCC